AAUAGUUCAUUUUUGCUUUCGUUUCCCUUGCCUCCAGAGACAUGUCUUGUAAGAAGUUGCUGUGGCUGAGGUCAAAGAGGUUGCUGUCAGGACCACUAACUUACUUUGAACUUGGGUGACCCCCAGAUAAAAGCCAAUGGUUGGACAUGAGUGGUCCAGACCAGGGCUAAGCAGGCACCAGAUUUGAAUUCCUAGACGUUUUCUCAAGUUACCAGCAUCUGUCCUCUGGUUCAGGCCCCAACAGUGUGGGCCAAGGCCACCCACCACCCACCACCCACCACCAUAACUAAACAUCAGUUAUUAAUCUCGUGGUGUUCAUCAUUUUGAUAUUUGUCAGCUAUAAAAAUGGUAAUGAUUAUAAUACAAAUAACAACAACAAUAACUAUCACUCUUUGGGUGUGAUUUAGAAACAAAAGGCUAUGAAAGCCAUCUACAGAUGAUUUAACAACUGAUUAUUCCUUAUAUUGGCUCCAGUUUGAAUUCUCAGCUCACAAGAUUUUAAGACCUCACAUGUUUGGAGGUUUGUUUCAAAACGAAGAGUCCUAUCUGGGAGUCAAAAAUCCCAGCUUCUGAUUCCAGCCACACCUUUCUUGCUCUGUGAUCUUGGCUAGGUAACAGAUCUGAGCCACAAUUUUUCAUAAGAAGGAGAGCGGAUGACGUAAGCUGUGUCUUUCCCAGGUUUGUGGUGAGGAGCAAAAGAAGGAAAGAUGUUGAGAGUACACUGGUACAUACAUGUACUGAUUAGAAGCUCACAGAAGGUACAGGACCACUUGUUUCUAAAUCGCUCAUGACACCUGGCAAGCUCCUGCUCUGUUUACUGUAAUUACUGUUAGGUGUUGCGGCCAACCUUGCACUUGAAAGGCCACUCUAGACAAUUGCCCAGAAUAACAUUUAUAUAAAUUAAAAACAGAUUCAAGUUUACUUUCCUCGGAAUAAGGUAGAUUUCAGUGAAAAUCAUUCGGGGGCUCUGAACAGCGAAGGUGUUUCUCUUGCUCGAAUGAUAUGUUCAUCGUAUGGCUUUGCUUCUCGAGGCAUCCAGAGGCUUCAGGCUGAUGGAACGGCCGCCUUCUCCAACGGGCUGGCCACUGUGAUCUGACGGUCUGGUCCCUGCAAUUGAAUUUCAGCCCGGACCUGACCUAUCUCACUCUGUUCACUACUUGUUGGCCAGAAUGGACCGCAGGGCCCUCCCAGCCUCACGGAGCCAGAAGGUGAGAGUGCUAUCCCCCCGGGGCCCCAGAGGGCCGAGGGCUAGGAAUCCUCAGGUACCCACAGACAGCCUCUAUUUUUCCGUGCAGUGUAGUGCUUUGAUUCAGUGAUGGGCUCACCCAUCGCUCCUUUUAUAGACUGAGCAUUCCUUGAGCACCUGCUAUAUGUCGGGAAUGGUGCCUGAUAGGGUUGCUACGAAGUCAUAGACAAGCUCUCUUCCUUCGAGUGCAGGGUUUAGAAACACGCUCUGCACGGAUGGUACAUGAGCUUCAACCCGAUGCUUCAUCCUGUCUGAGGAGAGAAGGACGGAUUCCUGCAGGUGGUCCAAGUCCCCACAGAACCAGUCCCUGCUGCUGUAGCCAAAAGCACAUUCUUCACUUGGUCGCCGUCAAAAUCAAAUUACCUAGCAAGCAGGGACUGACGAGGCCUGUCACUACACAAAGUUAAUUAAAAAAAAAAAAAAGAAAGAAAGAAAAGGUAAGUGACCCAGUUUCCUGUGGCCUGUCACUUGAGCCAUCCCUGUUUCUCACCGCCCCCCUCCCAUGUGCCCUGGAGAUGCCCAAGGACGAGGCCAGGCUGCUCUGCAGGUAACAGGGAAAUGGGCUGGCAAGACUCGCAGCUGGAGCUUGGGGUCUGCCUACCAUUUGGGCUCCGGUCGGAGUCCCUAUCGAGACCAUCAAUCUUCGGCUCACGGCUGUGUUUCCUCGGGGGGUUGCAUUUUCUUGUUCUGUUUUGUUCAGCAUGGCAUUCAAGAUUCCUCCACAGAGAUCUGUGUUGGGGCAGGAAAAUACUACGUGAAUUAUGUCCUCGUGAAGUCACCAUCUGGCCAAUAUUCAUCUUGCAGCUCGGAAUACCAAAGCCAUCCUUUGGCACAGAUGCUGGGCCAGAUCAGCACGCAGAAGUGACUGCAGUCACAAACCAACACGCCACCCAGUGUCAUUAAUGCACCUGUGGCCACUUCAGGCUUCCAUCCCGCACUGGCACAAUGCUUGGCUUUUCCUUUUCGCGUGUGGCGUUUGGUGUUGUUUUUGUCCCUCAGGGGCGGGGAGGGAGGUUUUGCCAUUUGAAUCAGGUCCUACAUCUUCAGAAGUAAUUAAGUCACCGUCACGGGGCUGGUAAAAAUGGGAGUGUUUGUGCGUGUUCGAGAAGCUGCAUCACAUGCGAACAAUGCAACACUGAGCGGCUUUCUGUGGCUUGAAGAGGCCAUUGUCCUGUGUGUCUGGACUCCGCUCUGCUGUUGGCGCUCAGUGGCUCCGGAAGCCCAGCCCCAGCCGCUGGUCUCCUGGUGGCUCUGUGCCAGAUGGAAGAAGGGAAGGGACCCCAAGCCUGGAGAGAGAAAAGACAGAACACAAAACAGCCUAUCAUGACUUCCCUGUGAGCAGGGGGGGAUUUCACAGCUGCCUUCAUCCCUUCCCACACUGGUCCUGCCCAGUGGGUGCUGGUGCUGUUUUAAAGGGGGAAGGGGAUGGGAGGGAAGCGUCCCAUCCCCGCGCAUUUGAAAUUCUGGGAAGCCAUGAAUGCUCUCUCCAGGCAGAGACCAGCGAGUUCAAAUACGGGACAUGAGGAGGAACAGAAGUUGCAGGAUCGCCAGCAGUGAUGGUGCCUGCUGGUCCCGACAGGGCGGGGGUGUCUGAGGGUCGCGCCGAAGGCUCCUUCCAUCCCAAGAGCCACGUAGGGUGUGGGGGUGAGGGAGGGCCUUGCUCUGGUUCAGCAACAUGCAGGGGCGGUGACCCAGGCCCCUGGGCAGUGCACACAGGGGAGGGGCAGUGCUGUCACGGUGACCUUGCUGCGGGCGGUGCAGCCUGGGGCAUAUGGCAGCCCAGAUUCUGCUCCCCUGUCACGUCACUUCUGCAUGGAAAUAGCAGAAUUGCAGGCAGCAGUUAAAGGUUUCCAAAAGCCCUUGAGUGUCAUUAGGGGCUUGUCACUGCCUUUUUCCGAGCUCUGCGAUGAAUGGCUCCCAAAUGUCUCUUAUCAAAUUAAAGCUCCUUAUCCCGGACUGGUGCCUCCUCGGCUAACUGGCUCCUGCCCACCCGACUAACCCAGGCUUAUUCUGAAGCACCCUGUCCCAUGCCCUGAGCUGCCUCUCUGAAGCCUUCUCCUUGCCAGCUGUCUUCGGGUCCAUUCCGGGCAACAGCUGUGCGUUGAACUUCUGCCCCAGAGCCAGGCCCUGAUAGAAGGGGAGGUGGGUUCGGUAAUGAGUCAGAUGGCGUCGAGUCACAAUACAGAAAGCAUUUCCGAGUGUCCGAGAGAGGAGGCGAUAGUUUGAGUUUCAGUCCAAACUCAGGAGCUAAGUCCGCUCAGGCAAGUUACUUAAUGUCUCCAGCCGUCUCUUUAGGAGGGCUCAGGAGUAAAAUGGGGAAAAUAAUGCAGGGUUGUUCUAAGAAUGGAAUGAGGGCUUUCUCUAACUAUUGAUCACGGUAUAUUUCACAUAUGUAUUUCACACACACACACACACACACACACACACACACGGCCCUCAAGGGCCCAUUGUUACUUUCACUGCAGCUCAGAUGGGCCAUGAAGAAAGAGCAGUCAUCGUUGCCUACAGAAGCCUGCAAAGGCCUCAUCCAAGGACAGACUCGAGACUGUUUUCUCUUCUUGCAGCAGACGCGAGAGCAAAGGACAGUUCUGGGCAGGGAAUGGCAGCCACAAAAUCAGGGAGGCGGGAAUCAGCCCAGCAUGUUCCCGGAGAGACAUGGACCGCCGGAGCCCCGGUUGCUGGGGGCCGAGGUGGAAGAUGAUCCUAGAAAGGCCUUUGGUAGCCAGGCUGACACCCACCAAGGCCGCCAGUCGCUUAUUUGUCAGGCUGCGGCAAAAAUGCUCGUCCUCCGUGUUCUCUGCCGUGUCGGUUUCGGCCCUCCUCCUCAGACUGCUGGUGCCCAGCUUUCCCAUUCAGCCUUGCCUGCUUCCAAGCUUCUGUCUUGGCAGCCCAGAGGGAUGGCCUCAGAACCUUGAGCUUCCCGGCCUGCUGACUUUCUCCAGCCUGGAGCAGUGACCUUGGAGCCUCUGAGCAUCAGGCCUUAAAGGUUCUUCACAGCGGGUCCCCCACAGCAUGAAUUGACCUCUCCCUUGUUAGAUCGCUGUUUCUGUAUAACCUCACUGUGCUAUUAUGCCGGCAGGAUCUGGUCCAGUUACUCAGUUAUAUUAAAGACCUCGUCGUUGGACUGAAUGGUUCUGUGCCCCUCUCCCAAAUUCAUAUGUUGAUGCCCUAACCCCCAGUGUGAUGGUAUUUGGAGAUGGGGGCCUUAAGGCAGUUAUGAGUGUUAGACAAAGUCAUGAAUGUGGGCCCCAUGUUGCACUUAGUAACUUUAGAAGGAGAGGAACAGUUGGGUCACAGCUUCCCCUCUCUGCCAUGUGAGGACACAGGGAAGGUCACUGUCCAUGAGCCUGGAAGAGAACCCUCACCAGGAAUGGAAUCUGCAGACUCCUUGAUCUUGGGUUCCCAGCCUCCAAAACCAUGAGAAAUAAA